rnacentral:lncRNA from 1 species
CUAGGAAUGGUGAAGUCAAAGAAGCUGCUCUUUUCACAUUACUCAGAAACACGCACUACCCCCAAUCACAGAUGCCAGCCAUGCACAGGGGCCCGUUCUGAAGGCAGGGGCAGGUGCACCAGCCCAGGAGCCCAGAGAAACUACAGCCAGCGCUGCCUCGGCUUAGGGAACCUGCGGCCGGCUUCCUGGGUACAGCCAUCGUAGGAAAGAGGGCCUUUCCUCAGCCAGCAUCCCUGCCCCUUCCUCCACCACCUUCCCUCUGUGGGACUGCUCCCAGGCAGACCUGGGGCCUCAGCCAGCAUGGGCAGGAACUCCCAGAGGACACGGGAAGGACUCCUGAGGACCCGCUGGGGUCUCCCGGGCCUAGGCUUCCCUCGGAACUGCAUCUCGAAGGGCAGCUCAGCUCGCACUCCGCGCACCUACUGUGUGCUCUCUAAGCUGGACACCAGGAAAGCUCUGCGACUCUGCUGUGAACUCUGGGGUCAGUGAGACCCCGGGGUCAAAAGCUGGCUCUGCCGCUCACCAUGGCUGUGACCCUGAGAAAGUUGUCUAACUUCCCUGAGCUUCGGUUUCCUAAGCUGCAAAAUGGGAACAGCAAUCGUUGUCUGUCUUGCAGCCUUGUUACAAUGGCCGAAGGAAAGAGCAUGGCACGGAAUGGGUUCUCAGUUAGAGGCUACAGAAUACCCAGCUCCUCCUGCAGGUGAAGAGCACCAGCUCUGAGCCAAAUGACCUGAGCUCACACACGGGCUCUGCCAGACACUGGUUGCAUAACCUUGAACAAGUUUCCUCAUCUUUCUGUGCCUCGGUUUUCUCAUCUGUAGAAUGGGCAUAACAUGGUGCAGUGUUUCUACUUGGGAGGGAUAAAAAUGGUCUGGAAGUUGAUAGUGGUGACGGCUGCACAACCCUAUGAAUAUAAUUCACAUCGCCAGGUUCUGAUAUGAAUUAUAAAAUAUAAAUUAUAAAAAUGAUAAGCUUUAUAUAUUUUUCCACAAUUUUUAAAAAUAUGCCAAGAAGCAAUGGAUUGUACACUUUCAAUGGGUAAAUUGUAUAGUACGUUAAUUUCUCUCACUAUAACUGUUUUUAGAAAAUGUUAAGAAUGGAGAUAAUAAUAAUGUUACCUACCUCUAAGGGUCAUUAGAGGAGAAUGAAUGAGUUCACACAGUGCUUAGAAGAGCUUACAAUAGUGACCAGCA